rnacentral:rRNA from 1 species
UACGUAGGGUGCGAGGCGUUGUCCGGAAUUAUUGGGCGUAAAGAGCUCGUAGGCGGCCCUGUCGCGUCGGAUGUGAAAGGCCCGGGGCUUAACCCCGGGUCGUGCAUUCGAUACGGGCAGGCUAGAGUUCGGUAGGGGAGAUCGGAAUUCCUGGUGUAGCGGUGAAAUGACGCAGAGUAUCAGGAGGAACACCGGUGGCGAAGGCGGAUCUCUGGGCCGAUACUGACGCUGGAGGAGCGAAAGCGUGGGGAGCGAACAGG